AUGGUGCAGUCAGUGGUUUGAGGACUGGACUAUGGCUCUGGAGACCAGGGUUCGAAUCCCUGCUUGCCAUA